rnacentral:rRNA from 1 species
GACAGAGGGGGCAAGCGUUGUUCGGAAUUACUGGGCGUAAAGCGCGUGUAGGCGGUUUUCCAAGUCGGGGGUGAAAGCCUUGAGCUCAACUCAAGAAAUGCACUCGGUACUGGGUGACUAGAGGACCGGAGAGGAUAGUGGAAUUCCCAGUGUAGUGGUGAAAUACGUAGAGAUUGGGAAGAACACCAGUGGCGAAGGCGGCUAUCUGGACGGUAUCUGACGCUAAGACACGAAAGCGUGGGGAGCAAACAGG